AGAGGGUGGAGCUAGCUGGUUUGGUUAGCAAGAUGCAUCUGUAAUUCACGUUAACUGUGAUAUUAGCUGGGAUGCUAAUUUUGGCUAGUAACAAAACGUAUUUACUGAUAAAUGAACAGCCGACAUCUAAUAAGCUUUUUCAGCGGCGCAGGUUAAACGUACACCGAGCAGCGGAUACGAGUCGCCUCUAUCCUCAUUGACAGCAUGGACAGCGGCCGAUUGGGAGAUUUUCGCUGCCAGGCAGAGGAGGAGGCUGUGUUAGCGAGUGGCAAAGCUGAGUGUGAGACAGGAUCAGUUGGUCUCCUGGUUUUGUCCUCGUCUCCCAGACUGAUGUUCCCCCCAGAGGAGGCUCUAUUCUGGGUCACACUGCUCUCUGUCACCCCCCUCUCUGGACCGUCUUCUACCUCUGAUUUGUUGAUCCCGUCUUGUCCCUUCAAGGACAGCUGAUCGGUCGUCAUCUCCGAGCCGGGCCCUCCCCUCUCCUCCUGGCUUCCCUCCGAAUACUCCACAUCCAGCACACCGGGUUCUGAGAAGUCCCGGCGGGGCCCGUCGAACAGGGCGAGGUCCUUCAGGGCCUCCAGGUCCCCAGGGGCCUCAGAGGACUGCGAGAGUGGCUUCCAGCGUCCGCCGUAUGGCUCUCCUCUCACCAAAGACUGCAGCACCAGCGUCUGUGGUGAUGCUCUCCGCAGGAAGGCGAGGACCGAGUCGGCCCCGGGUCGCUCUCGGGGCAGGCAGUUCUCCCUCUGCUGGCAGCUCAGGAUGUAGCAGCGGCCCUCGAACAGCCAGGCCAGGUCGUACCCCGGCAGGUCGCAGCAUGCUGCCACGCACUGUGGCAAGGACGCCACUCCGGGUACCCGCAGAAUGCCACCGCUCUCUACCGUUGGAGACACCACUGCCUCGGAGAAAGUCGCCCCCUGCCAGCACUGAGACGCCACUACAGCUGAAACACAACACUUUGUUUAUUUUGGAGAAAUAAGACCUUUUGUUUUUGUUGUAAAACCCUUGCGGAAAUUAUUUUGGGCUGUAAAUAAAAUCAACAGACAUAGAAUUUGAA